AUGCUUGCUUCUGCAGCACUUGUACUGAAAUUGGAAGGAUAUGGAGAUUAGCAUGGCCCUGUACAAGGAUGACCCCAAAAUCAUGAGGCAUUCCACAAAAAG
ensembl:snRNA U6 U6 spliceosomal RNA